rnacentral:rRNA from 1 species
UAUGACUUGUGUGCCAGAGCCGCGGUAAUACGUAGGGGGCAAGCGUUAUCCGGAUUUACUGGGUGUAAAGGGAGCGUAGGCGGCGGAGCAAGUCAGAAGUGAAAGCCCGGGGCUCAACCCCGGGACGGCUUUUGAAACUGCCCUGCUUGAUUUCAGGAGAGGUAAGCGGAAUUCCUAGUGUAGCGGUGAAAUGCGUAGAUAUUAGGAGGAACACCAGUGGCGAAGGCGGCUUACUGGACUGACAAUGACGCUGAGGCUCGAAAGCGUGGGGAGCAAACAGG